rnacentral:pre_miRNA from 1 species
CUACUACUCCCUCCAUUCCAAAAUUCUUGUCUUAGAUUCGUCUAGAUACGGAUGUAUCUAAUACUAAAACGUGACUUGAUACAUCCGUAUUUAAACAAAUCUAAGACAAGAAUUUUGGGACGGAGGGAGUAUCUC